rnacentral:rRNA from 1 species
GACGAACGCUGGCGGCGUGCUUAACACAUGCAAGUCGAACGGAAAGGCCUCUUUCGGGGGGUACUCGAGUGGCGAACGGGUGAGUAACACGUGAGUAACCUGCCCUUUACUUUGGGAUAACUUCAGGAAACUGGGGCUAAUACCGGAUAGGAGCUCCUGCUGCAUGGUGGGGGUUGGAAAGUUUCGGCGGUUGGGGAUGGACUCGCGGCUUAUCAGCUUGUUGGUGGGGUAGUGGCUUACCAAGGCUUUGACGGGUAGCCGGCCUGAGAGGGUGACCGGCCAAAUUGGGACUGAGAUACGGCCCAGACUCCUACGGGAGGCAGCAGUGGGGAAUAUUGCACAAUGGGUGGAAGCCUGAUGCAGCAACGCCGUGUGCGGGAUGACGGCCUUCGGGUUGUAAACCGCUUUCGCUCAUGACGAAGCUUUGUGUGACGGUAGUGGGUAAAGAAGCACCGGCUAACUACGUG